rnacentral:lncRNA from 1 species
GGGAAGGUUCUUAUGAAAGAGGCUUCACUCUGCACUCAGCUUUCUUGUCCUUCUAUCUCUGCUUUGUGAGGACACCGUAUCCUUCUCCUACAAAGAAUGCAGCAACCAAGUAUCUUGGAAUCAGAGAGCAGCCCUGACCAGAUAACCAAACACGCCAGUGCCUUGACUUUGAACUUUGCAGCCUCCAGAACUCACAUACAAUAAAAUUUGCAAUGUACAGGGAAGAUUAACUGACCCGCUGCACGAAGAUGACACACAAAUUUAUGAAGAUGGUUCUUUUUAUUUUCCUUAAAUUUUAGCAUGUGUGCCAUAUGGCUCCUGGCCAACCCCACUACUACAACCAUUCUGGACCAGAGGGGAUAGUGUCCUUCAACUGCAGAAUGAGGCAGUGCAUGGAGACUAUCAUUCUAUGUGAGCUGUGGAAUGAGACCCACUGGCCAUGGGAAACCAACAGAUACCAUUGUAGCUAAUCUUGAUCUGAUCAUCUUUAAGUAAAAUGUUGUUCCAACCAAUCCCUUUCCAUCGAAUGCCUGUG